UACGUAGGGUGCGAGCGUUGUCCGGAAUUAUUGGGCGUAAAGAGCUCGUAGGCGGUUUGUCGCGUCGGCCGUGAAAACUUGGGGCUUAACUCCAAGCUUGCGGUCGAUACGGGCAGACUUGAGUUCGGCAGGGGAGACUGGAAUUCCUGGUGUAGCGGUGAAAUGCGCAGAUAUCAGGAGGAACACCGGCGGCGAAGGCGGGUCUCUGGGCCGACACUGACGCUGAGGAGCGAAAGCAUGGGGAGCGAACAGG
rnacentral:rRNA from 1 species